rfam:Triticum aestivum genome assembly, contig: Triticum_aestivum_CS42_TGACv1_scaffold_592050_7BS
AUAGUAUUGCCUCUGUCCCAAAAAGCAUGUCUUAGAUUUGUCUAGAUACGGAUGUAUCUAACACUAAAACAUGUAGUGUUAGAUACAUCCAUAUGUAGACAAAUCUAAUACAAGCUUUUUCGGACUGAGGGAGUAUCUG